rnacentral:rRNA from 1 species
UACAGAGGUCCCGAGCGUUGUUCGGAUUCACUGGGCGUAAAGGGUGCGUAGGUGGCUUGAAAAGUUUGAUGUGAAAGCUCAGGGCUUAACCCUGAAAUGGCAUUGAAUACUGUCGAGCUGGAGGUUUGGAGGGGGGACUGGAAUUCUUGGUGUAGCAGUGAAAUGCGUAGAUAUCAAGAGGAACACCAGUGGCGAAGGCGACUACCUGGCCUGUUCUUGACGCUGAGGCGCGAAAGCUAGGGGAGCAAACGGG